rnacentral:rRNA from 1 species
CCUACGGGUGGCAGCAGUCGAGAAUCUUCGGCAAUGGGCGCAAGCCUGACCGAGCGACGCUACGUGCGGGAUGAAGGCCCUUGGGUUGUAAACCGCUGUCAGAGGGGAUGAAAGCGAAAGCUUGACAGAGCCUCAGAGGAAGCGCGGGCUAAGUUCGUGCCAGCAGCCGCGGUAAUACGAACUGCGCGAACGUUAUUCGGAAUCACUGGGCUUACAGGGUGCGUAGGCGGCCAGCCAGGUCCGAUGUGAAAUCCCACAGCUCAACUGUGGAAUGGCAUUGGAAACCGGUUGGCUCGAGUGAGCUAGAGGUGCACGGAACUUCCGGUGGAGCGGUGAAAUGUGUUGAGAUCGGAAGGAACACCAGAGGCGAAAGCGGUGCACCGGGGCUUGUCUGACGCUGAGGCACGAAAGCCAGGGGAGCGAACGGGAUUAGAUACCCCGGUAGUCCA